rnacentral:rRNA from 1 species
AAUGAACGCUGGCGGCAUGCCUAACACAUGCAAGUCGAGCGGAUGAAGGGAGCUUGCUCCUGGAUUCAGCGGCGGACGGGUGAGUAAUGCCUAGGAAUCUGCCUUGUAUUGGGGGAUAACGUCCGGAAACGGGCGCUAAUACCCCAUACGUCCUGUGGGCGAAAGUGGGGGGUCUUCGGACCUCACGCUUUCAGAUGAGCCUAGGUCGGAUCAGCUAGUUGGUGGGGUAAAGGCCUACCAAGGCUACGAUCCGUAACUGGUCUGAGAGGAUGAUCAGUCACCCUGGAACUGAGGCACGGUCCAGACUCCUACGGGAGGAAGCAGUCGGGAAUCUUGCGCGAUGGGCGAAAGCCGGAUACAGCAAUGCCGGGUGAGUGAAGAAGGUCUUCGGAUUGUAAAGCGCUGUAAGUUGGGAGGAAGGGAAGUAAGUUAAUACCUGACUGUAUUGACGUUACCAACAGAAUAAGCACCGGCUAACUCCGUG